rnacentral:piRNA from 1 species
UGGAUGUCGAACUCCUGAGCUGGUUAUAGU